UACGAAGGGGGGCUAGCGUUGCUCGGAAUCACUGGGCGUAAAGGGCGCGUAGGCGGCCAUUCAAGUCGGGGGGUGAAAGCCUGUGGCUCAACCACAGAAUUGCCUUCGAUACUGUUUGGCUUGAGUUUGGUAGAGGUUGGUGGAACUGCGAGUGUAGAGGUGAAAUUCGUAGAUAUUCGCAAGAACACCAGUGGCGAAGGCGGCCAACUGGCCAACACUGACGCUGAGGCGCGGAAAGCGUGGGG
rnacentral:rRNA from 1 species